rnacentral:rRNA from 1 species
GGUUCUCCCCGAAAGCUAUUUAGGUAGCGCCUCGUGAAUUCAUCUCCGGGGGUAGAGCACUGUUUCGGCUAGGGGGCCAUCCCGGCUUACCAACCCGAUGCAAACUGCGAAUACCGGAGAAUGUUAUCACGGGAGACACACGGCGGGUGCUAACGUCCGUCGUGAAGAGGGAAACAACCCAGACCGCCAGCUAAGGUCCCAAAGUCAUGGUUAAGUGGGAAACGAUGUGGGAAGGCCCAGACAGCCAGGAUGUUGGCUUAGAAGCAGCCAUCAUUUAAAGAAAGCGUAAUAGCUCACUGGUCGAGUCGGCCUGCGCGGAAGAUGUAACGGGGCUAAACCAUGCACCGAAGCUGCGGCAGCGACGCUGAUGCGUUGUUGGGUAGGGGAGCGUUCUGUAAGCCUGCGAAGGUGGCCUGUGAGGGUUGCUGGAGGUAUCAGAAGUGCGAAUGCUGACAUAAGUAACGAUAAAGCGGGUGAAAAGCCCGCUCGCCGGAAGACCAAGGGUUCCUGUCCAACGUUAAUCGGGGCAGGGUGAGUCGACCCCUAAGGCGAGGCCGAAAGGCGUAGUCGAUGGGAAACGGGUUAAUAUUCCCGUACUUGGUGUUACUGCGAAGGGGGGACGGAGAAGGCUAUGUUGGCCGGGCGACGGUU